AGUGAACGCUGGCGGUAGGCCUAACACAUGCAAGUCGAACGGCAGCACAGUAAGAGCUUGCUCUUACGGGUGGCGAGUGGCGGACGGGUGAGGAAUACAUCGGAAUCUACUUUUUCGUGGGGGAUAACGUAGGGAAACUUACGCUAAUACCGCAUACGACCUACGGGUGAAAGCAGGGGAUCUUCGGACCUUGCGCGUUUGAAUGAGCCGAUGUCGGAUUAGCUAGUUGGCGGGGUAAAGGCCCACCAAGGCGACGAUCCGUAGCUGGUCUGAGAGGAUGAUCGGCGGCAAUGGAACUGAGACACGGUCCAGACUCCUACGGGAGGCAGCAGUGGGGAAUAUUGGACAAUGGGCGCAAGCCUGAUCCAGCCAUACCGCGUGGGUGAAGAAGGCCUUCGGGUUGUAAAGCCCUCUUGUUGGGAAAGAAAAGCAGCAGGUUAAUACCCCGCUGUUCUGACGGUACCCAAAGAAUAAGCACCGGCUAACUUCGUG
rnacentral:rRNA from 1 species